CUCGGUGACUAGAGCGGACUGGUACCACUCUUUUCCCGUCUCGACUCGGUCGAGCCGAGGCGGGCCAUUCCGAACAAGAUAGUUAAACGGUCUAGCGUCGACGAUAGUAGAGCCUUGUGUUCUGCGAAAAUAGAUCGUUGCCGAGA
rnacentral:rRNA from 3 species